rnacentral:tRNA from 1 species
GGAGGGGUGCCCGAAUUGGCAAGGAACCGGUCUUGAAAACCGGCAUGCUCGCAAGAGCUGUGCGGGUUCGAGCCCCGCCCCCUCCGCCA